AUGCAAGCUAACAAGCUUUGUAUACCCGAGUCUUCUCUUCAUUUGUUGCUUCUGCAAGAGGCUUACGGCGGAGGACUUAUGAUAAACUUUGGACGCAACAAGAUGUACGUAACGCUCUCCAACAACUACAUUUGGGCCAAGAUGUUCUGUGACGUCUCACGCUACACCAACCGAUGCUCUACAUGUCACAAAGCUAAGUCUAAAGCUCAAUCCCAUGGUCUAUAUAUGCCACUUCCUAUUCCGUAUCACCCAUGGGAAGAUAUUAGUAUGGACUUUGUGCUUGGUUUGCCUAGAACUCAAAAUGGAAAAGAUUCGGUAUUUGUUGUUGUGGACUGUUUCUCUAAGAUGGCACAUUUCAUUCCGUGCAACAAGAUAGAUGAUGCUUCACAUGUUGCAAAUCUCUUUUGCAGGGAAAUCUUAGGAUUGCAUGGAGUGCCCAAGACUAUUGUGUCGGACCGCGACGUCAAGUUCCUUAGCUACUUUUGGAAGACACUAUGUGCCAAGCUCGGAAUCAAACUGCCCUUCUCAUCGGCAUAA
rnacentral:rRNA from 1 species